rfam:Ictidomys tridecemlineatus contig052511, whole genome shotgun sequence.
GGGGAUAUAGCUUGGCUGGUAGAGUGCUUGCCUAGCAUGCCCAAGACCCUGGGUUCAAUCCCCAGUACCAUCA